ensembl:snoRNA
GCCAUCUGUUUUCAUUAAGGUCUUCAGAUGCCUGUCAUGGGCACUGCUGAGAAAGCCACUUGGAAGAGCUAAUGGCAAACA